rnacentral:lncRNA from 1 species
UGGAGGCAGGGUUUUGGCUGGGCACGGUGGGUCAUGCCUGUAAUCCCCGCACUUUGGGAGCCGAGGCAGGUGGAUCACUUGAAGUCGGGAGUUCCAGACCAGCCUGGCCAACAUGGUGAAACCCUGUCUCUACUAAAAAUACAAAAAUUAGCUGGGCAUGGUGGCACAUGCCUGUAAUCCCAGCUACUCGGGAGGCUGAGGCAGGAGAAUUGCUUGAACCCAGGAGGCAGAGGUUGUAGUGAGCCAAGAUCGUGCCACUGCACUCCAGUCUGGGCGACAAAGUGAGACGCUGUAUCAAAAAAAAAAAAAAAAAAAGAGGCAGGAUCUUGCUCUGUCAUCCAGGCUGGAGUGCAGUGUCACCUUCAUAGCUCACUGGAGCCUCAAACUCCUGGGCUCAAGUGAUUCUUCUACCUCGGCCUCCCAAAGUGCUGAGAUUACAGCUGUGAGCCAUCGCACCUGGCUAGGAGGUGACAUUUGAACUGAAACUUAAAUCAUGACCUCAUGACUGAGAGCCAUCUGUGCAAAUGUCUGGGUCAGAGCAUUCCAGUCAAAGGGAGCAGCAAGUGUAAAACCCCUUGGCAGGAACAAACUUGAAGUGUUCAAGAAAAGCAAGGUGCCGAUGUUACUAGGACCAAGUGAGAUGGGGCAGAAGAUGAAGUCAGAGAAGCAGACAAAGACAAAUUAUGAAGAUCCUUGGAUGCCAUGAACAAACACAGACUAGCCUGCUGGAAGAUGAGAGAUCAUGUGGAAUGGAGCCAAGUCAACCCAGCUGAGGCCAUCCUAGACCAGCCAGCUGCCAGUCAACCCUGUAGCUGCUUGCAGAUUCAUUACAAAGUCCAGUCAAGGUCUCACUCUGAUGCCCAGGCUGGAGUGCAGUGGAGUGCAGUGCAGUGGAUCUUGACUCAUCACAACCUCCACCUCCUGGGCUCAAGUGAUCCUCCCACCUCAA